AAGUUUUGGAACUGGCUCAGGACGAACGCUGGCGGCGUGCUUAACACAUGCAAGUCGAACGGUGAAGCCCAGCUUGCUGGGUGGAUCAGUGGCGAACGGGUGAGUAACACGUGAGCAACCUGCCCUCCACUUCGGGAUAAGCCUUGGAAACGGGGUCUAAUACCGGAUAUGAGCCUGCAUCGCAUGGUGUGGGUUGGAAAGUUUUUCGGUGGGGGAUGGGCUCGCGGCCUAUCAGCUUGUUGGUGGGGUGAUGGCCUACCAAGGCGUCGACGGGUAGCCGGCCUGAGAGGGCGACCGGCCACACUGGGACUGAGACACGGCCCAGACUCCUACGGGAGGCAGCAGUGGGGAAUAUUGCACAAUGGGCGAAAGCCUGAUGCAGCGACGCCGCGUGAGGGAUGACGGCCUUCGGGUUGUAAACCUCUUUCAGCAGGGAAGAAGCGCAAGUGACGGUACCUGCAGAAGAAGCGCCGGCUAACUACGUGCCAGCAGCCGCGGUAAUACGUAGGGCGCAAGCGUUGUCCGGAAUUAUUGGGCGUAAAGAGCUCGUAGGCGGUCUGUCGCGUCUGGUGUGAAAUCCCGAGGCUCAACCUCGGGCUUGCAUCGGGUACGGGCAGACUAGAGUGCGGUAGGGGAGACUGGAAUUCCUGGUGUAGCGGUGGAAUGCGCAGAUAUCAGGAGGAACACCGAUGGCGAAGGCAGGUCUCUGGCCGCAACGACGCGAGAGGAAGCG
rnacentral:rRNA from 1 species